GAUCGGCCAACCAAAAAAAAAAAAAGCGGCCGUGCCGCCCUAGGAUUGGGCGGAAUGCCGCCCCGUAGAAUCUGCCACCCCAAGCACGAGCUUCCUCGGCUGGUGCCAGGAGCCGUCCCUGCUCACCCGUCCAAGUUUGCGGCGACACUUCGGCAGAGGGUCCUUCAGUCGCUGACAGUCUUCGGUGGCAUUUCGGCAGCGGGUACUUCCUUCUUUGGCAGCAAGGCAGCUCCGGCCGCGCCGCAGGUUUUGGGGUUCUUUUUGCUUUGCCAUUCUGGACGCCCCGAUUGUUUUAUUUUAUUUUAUUACCCGCCACCGAAAUGCCACUGAAGACCGUCAGCGACUGAAGGACCCACCGCCGAGACCCGGACGUGCCAGGUGAGUGUAACAAUUGAAAAUGCGCUCCCCUGCCUGUCACCGCCGCCUAAGCAACAAGAAAAAAAAGCAAAAAAAACCCCUGCCCGAAACAAACUAUCAGGACAAAUGGCGUGCGGACCGUACUUCGGUCGGGAUGUGGGACAAACUGCUCCAUAUCGGGACAGUCACGAUUUUAUCGGGAGGUCUGGUCACCCUAUGUGCCCUUGGCCGCCUCGUGCUGCUGUGUGAUAGUAUAAGGGCGGAGCCGCCCCGUACCUCUCCUUAGCACCCAUGAUCGGUACAGAGUUCAUCGACUUGCUACUGCGAGUUUUCUCCCACUCCAGGGGGUUUCUCUCCCUUCUCUAAAUAGUUAUUUAGUAGUACUCAGUGUAAGUUAGUGUCGGUUUUCUCUGGUUAUUUUCUAUGGCAAGUGUGGGUGUUGAAUCCCUACUAUACAAAGUGUGCCUUCAGAGGAUUGGAGGGGUUAACAUCAACAAGUCUGCUACAUAUGGGUCUGUGGUUGUCACUCCUUCUGAACUCAGUGACACGUCAUGUUGGGGAAUGUAAGUAUCACCGCAGCUUAGAAUGUAAAGCUCUGUUAUAUGGCUCCACAACCCCGGUCGGCUAGUUGUCAUGGCAUCUUUCUCCAGCCCUGACUAAAACAGAGUAGCAUUCAGCAGUUCAAGGGGCUUUAUUCUGAGCUCAGAAAGUGAACCCGUCCCUUGAACAAACUCCUGACUUGUGAGAAGCAAUGCCCGUCAUCGGCCAUUUCCGCCUAGGGAAAUUCAGCCCAUUACCAGGAAAGACCAAUUUGUUUGCGGAGUGCUGACAGAUCACUGGAAUCCACCUUAAUGCUGGUUUAAACAUCAUGGUACUUGGUCACCUGACAUCUGCUCUGUCAGGCCAAGCCUUCCAGCUUGGUCUCUUCUGUGCAGGCUGUCUACUCUGCACCAGGUGGGGGCAUGACCCCCUGUCUGGCAGCAUCUCAGGGCAUAGCACGGCUGUUUGGCUUUGUCAGAAAAAUCCUGCCUUUGGAGGGUACCAGUCAGUUUCCUGUUCAUUUGAGAACUUUUCUCAGUUAAACCCCUUGGUGCCCUCUGCUCCUGGGAGCGGUCUCUGUGUGAGCUGGGUCCUGACAGAGCAGCAUUAGGGGGUCAGUGUGCAUGGAGGCUCCCCUUCACCCUCCAGGUAAAGCAGAGGAGGGAGAGGAGCCCCCGCACUGCCAGCUGCACAGGAUUAUGCAGCUGUCCUCUCCUCUCUGGCUUGGGCCAAAGACAAGAGUCCUCAUUCUCCGUUCUCAGUUCAAGGGCAACUUAUCAAGCUGCGGGCACAGUGGGUCUUUUGUUUUACAGUCCCCUCUUUCCUCCUCCCCCUGCUCUAGCACAGGGACAAAGAAGUUCCAGGACCAAGUUCUGGAUGUUGAUCAGACACCGCUGAGCUACGUUACCGUCUCCUGGUGAUGGUGUUGCCAGGGCUAAUGUACACCUAUUGCACAAGCCCCCCAGAUACUUCACCGUGUUUUGUAGCAACUCGCAUUAUAGAAGCCCUGACCCCAUGGUAACAUCCUCCCAUCCCAGACUGCAGAGCCAGCCAGUGACUGAUUCCUGUCCUCCCUUAGCACAGCAGAACAGGCCUGCCAAACCUGCAGUGCACACGCCAAGGGAGGGGCAGGGUAGGGCAGAGCAGAUGAAGGAUGUAAGGGAGGCCAUCUGGGGGGUUGGCCCCUCCUCGCAAUUCCCCAGGGCCCCCAAAGCUAUCGCAUAAAGCUAAUCAAAUAUUGCCCAGAAUGCACUGAGCUGGGACUGAGCGAGAUUGUAAUGACAGGGUAGAUAGCACCUCUGCUAAUAGGUGGUGCUGUAUCUUUAUCUUAAUGUUGUCUUGUUUUCACAGUAUGUUAUUUUUUUUGGCAGAGAGGUUUGGGAGGGGCAGAUGAUAAAUCCUGCCUGUGUGAGCUUGAGCUGUUACUUGCAGCAUUGCAAUAAAUCCUUUGAUUUCUAUAAGCGAGUAUUCAAA